UUCGCUUAAGUGAAACAAUUGGCAUAUGAAUGUUGAAGGAGAAUUAUAAAAUUGUGGCUUAAAAUGAUACACAUUAGGUUGACCGAAAAAUGAAGUUUGAUUAAAGGAGGGGAACUGGAAAACACUCGCUUAAGCGACGUGUUCUCGUUCGAGUGACACAUGCACUUUGGUUGAAGAAGGGAACCUGCCAGAUUCUCACCUCAGCGAGAAGCAUUGGGUUGAGCAGAAAUUGGAGUUCCAUUUUAUAAGGACAUUAUAAAAAUCUGGCUUAAGCGAGAUACAGUCGCUUUCCAUUUUAGUUAGAACCCUUUUAAAAUCUUGCUGAAGCGAAACAGCGUAGCUUGAGCCCAAAUUGGACCUCUAUUUUGGUAAGAACAUGUAGUAAGCUCGCUUAAGCAAGGUAUGCCGCUUAAGUGAAAAUUGGAGUUUCAAUUUAGUGAGGGCCCUGUCUGGAUCUCGAUUAAGAGGGAUGGUCUCGCUUGAGCGUAAAUUGGGUUCCAUAUUACUAAGGGUACUGAAAAAAUAUCGCUUAAGUGAAAUAGAGUCACUUGAGAGAGAAUUGGAGUUCCAUCUAAUGAGGACCCCGUUGAAAUCUAGCUUAAGCGAGAUAGCGUUGCUUGAGCAAAAUGCUUGAUUAUUUUUUAUUACAUGACGAUAAAGUGUUGUUUUAAUUAGGGCGCUUCCAAGAGGGCUCUUUGAAUGCUCACUGGUGGAAGUGGGCGCCAUCGCAAAAUCAACCAUCUGGACGUGGAGUUAGUUUAGAAACAAAACCUUGGUCGGGUAUUACUACCAUCCUUUGUGAUUGAGAAGCCCAAAUGGGUUGAUGGAAAGACAAAGGAAAGGACGUUGUGUCUAGGGAUGAAGGGAAGAAUCCAAGAAUAGAGGCCAAUAGUGAAGACGGGAAUAACAAUUUCUUCAAAGAUGCAAUCAUUGAAAAAUUACGUGAACCCUCUAGAAGGUGGUCAUUCAACUAUUUUGGGAGCAGAAGGAAGUAAAAAUUCACGUCGGGAACGCAUAUGAAAACCAUCACUGUCGCAGCAUGGUGGAGCUCAAACCUCGAUAAUUGAUUACAUGAAACGUGUAGAAGUUAAUUUGAUUCAUGUAGAGGAACAACAAGCUGCUAAUCAUAGGGACAGAUGAAUCUAAUGUAUAACAUGCAUAGGUUCUGUUUGCACCAAUAUCAGAACCCAACCCUUUGCACAAGUCCAGAUGAAUUUGCUGCUAUUGUGCAAUGCCCUGGGGAUAGACCAAAUUUGGAUGGAGAAGUGUGUCUUUGUCCACAUCCCCCCAUGAUGAAGGAGUCCAUGUUGAAGAAGGUUGUGGUGUCUGUUAAGAUAAGUUCGAUGAUAUAAUUGGAGGAGUUUGAUGUGUCUCUGUUGUUUCCUUUUCAUUUAACUAGACUUUGGUCGCAUAUAUUUUGGUUAAAAGUCUUUAUAGUUUUAUUUU